rnacentral:lncRNA from 1 species
UGUCUGUUUUCUUUAUAAUAAAUGAUGUCUGCUAAAAAAAAAUGACUUUCGGCAGUGUCGGCAGCCGCUGAUACUGAUAGAAAAGUCUGACAACUUAACUGUAUAAAUAACUGCGUCACGGAGGUUAUUUAAACGGAGGUUAGUUUUAUUUACAUUAUACAUGGAAAUAUGUAACAAUAUUGUUGAGUUGCUUUCUCAAAACUGAUUAUUGAGAAGCUUUAUGGGUGCUUUCAAUGAAAUAAUCAUCAUUUUGAUUUGUUCUUGGUUAGUGCGUUCCAAAAUACGCGUUACGUAGGUUGGAUUCUUAUAUGCGACAAUCGAAAAAAAGAGAAAGAGAAGAUUUUUUUUUAUUUUUCGUUUCAUUGCAAUAAAAGUUAAAG